GCCACCAAAUUAAAAAAGCCCAAAAUCCUUCCCACCAUAUCUUGCCAAAAUAAAAAUCCCGGUUUUUCUACGCUAAAAUUUUAUUUCCUUCCAAUUCUCCAUCUCUCAAUCUAUCCAUUUUGGUAGGUUUCAGUUAAUUAUGGUUCAGAAAAUCCCCCAAAUAACAAUGAAUUCAUAUCAAAUUUUCAUACUGCGCUAUUGAUUCUAUCAUUCUCUCUAGUCUGCAGUUUUUAUUUUUCUAGUUGUGAAAGGGAUUUUGAAGCAUAUAAGGUUUGAAUCGGGAGAUUGGUGGAGAUUUUUUCUUCUUCACUACCUUAAAAAGGUAUCUUUUUUUUUUUCCGUUCCUGAAUCUGAGCGGUAGUUUCUGUGUAAUUUUUUGGCAGAGGGUAUGUCAAACCAGAAUCUGCCAUUUUAAUAUGUUGUGGUGUAUAAACUUAUCUUUCUAGAUUUACAAAUUUCGUUCCUUUAUCAUUACAUACAGAGAUUUAUGUAAAUUUUUAAGCACUAAAAACGUUUUGUCCAGAGAGGUUCUUAUGGAUUUGUCCAAAAUCAAAUAGAUUCAAUUACUGCUCAUCUUGGAUUUGUUUUGAACAACCUUAUUUAAAAGUACACAUUUAACUCACCAUAGUUAUUUUAUCUGUUAUUAUGUUGGAGGAAUGAAGGAGCCUUAUUCAUGGCUUGAUAAAUUUGUAUACCAGACAUUGAAUGAAUUAGAUAGGACAAAUACUUAAAUAGAGAAAUCUGGACGACAUUUAAAAUGACAAGUAAAUUUUGCUUCAGGGAAUUCUUGGGGACAGAUAGAGGUUUCAAAACUGUCAUUGGUGCUAUUAACUUCAAGAAAGAUUGGCGUAACAAUUCCAGAAAAUUUUGAGAGUGAUUGUUGCUGUUCUAAUCCUUUGGUUCGAUUCAAAGCUUGAAGCAGCUCUCAGUUCCUUUGGUGGUGGAACAACACAAGUUGUCCUGUUAGGUGCAGGUGAAUGCCAAAGCUCCUAACAUUUCAAUAUAGUAAACAAGAUAUUUCUUUUGCAUAUGUUUAAUUAUCAAAUUUGCAUAAUAAAGAUGCCAUAUGGGAGCUUCGAACAUGAGAGCUUGGUUAUUUGCAACCGGCCUGAGUAUCUGCUGACACACAUGGCUCAUCUAUUUUGUGUUUGCCAAUGACAAGCUCAUGUGUGUAUAUUCGUGUAUAUAUGUAUAUAGGUAUCAGUGCGCGUGUGUGUGUGUGUGUGUGUGUUUAUAUAUGAAUGUAUAAGUACAUGUUUGCAUACAUAUUUGGUCUCUUAUGCACACAAUUAUAAUUUCUUUCAAUUGAUAGUAAAAUAAAUUAUUACUUUAAAG
rnacentral:lncRNA from 1 species